rnacentral:tRNA from 1 species
GCCGGUAUAGCUCAAUCGGUAGAGCACCUGAUUUGUAAUCAGGCGGUUGCGGGUUCGAUUCCUGUUGCCGGCUCC